ACAUAUUGUAUUAGUGAAGGCGUUGGCAGUAUUUGUCGCAACACGUCGUGGCGAGAGUAUUGCAAUUUUUCAGGUUUUUACGACCGUUAAAACUUUUCGACAGCAAUAUGCCAGUAAAGGUUAAGAUCACCUAUUGUGGUGGAUGAGGGUACAGGCCCAAGUUUGAGAAGAUCAAAAAAGAGAUCCUCGAAGAGUUUGAUGACACAGAAGUAGAAGUGGAAGGAUAUGGAACACCAGGAGUAACAGGUUAUUUGGAAGUAGAGGUGGCUGGUAAACUUGUUCAUUCCAAAAAGGGUGGUGAUGGAUAUGUGGACUCUGGAAGCAAAAUGGAGAAGAUUCUGGAGGCAAUACGCAAAGCCCAGCCUUGAUGGUCCACUGCAUGUGCAAGGAAAAUGUGUACAGUCAAGUUCGAAUCAGCUGUUUGUUCCAGAUGGAUGACCUUGAAUGAUGGGAGCAGCUUAAAAUCGUUAAAACGUUUGGCUGACUUCUUGAUGAAGUUUAGUGAUUUCAUCUGGCGGCACUGUGGAAAACCAACUGUGCAUGUUAUUCCUCUUUAUUCAGUUAAUUAACUUCUGAGUAAUAAUUUUCCUGUUUUUUGAGAUGUAAACAAGCUAUAAUGUUUGUGUCGUUAGUGACUACACUGAUCGUUUUGGUCAAAUGUUUUACACCAAUGUGAAAAUCUCUUUCUUUUUUUCUUGUUGAACUAAUUAAACAAAGUUGUUUACGUUUA